rnacentral:rRNA from 1 species
AACGAACGCUGGCGGCAGGCUUAACACAUGCAAGUCGAGCGCCCUGCAAGGGGAGCGGCAGACGGGUGAGUAACGCGUGGGAAUCUACCCAUCUCUACGGAACAACUCCGGGAAACUGGAGCUAAUACCGUAUACGUCCUCCGGGAGAAAGAUUUAUCGGGGAUGGAUGAGCCCGCGUUGGAUUAGCUAGUUGGCGGGGUAACGGCCCACCAAGGCGACGAUCCAUAGCUGGUCUGAGAGGAUGAUCAGCCACAUUGGGACUGAGACACGGCCCAAACUCCUACGGGAGGCAGCAGUGGGGAAUAUUGGACAAUGGGCGCAAGCCUGAUCCAGCCAUGCCGCGUGAGUGAUGAAGGUCUUAGGAUUGUAAAGCUCUUUCGCCGGGGACGAUAAUGACGGUACCCGGAGAAGAAGCCCCGGCUAACUUCGUGCCAGCAGCCGCCGUAAAC